ACACUUCUUGGGCUUUUGGCUCCAAUCAGGUGUGGUAUCUGUUCUUAUCAGUUUAAUAUCUGAUACGUCCUCUAUUUGAGGACUAUAUAUUUAAUGGAUUUUUAGAGCUGGGAGACGGAAUAGGGGCUUGCUUCAUCCACUCCAUGCAUCAGCCUGGUAUUGCAAUACCACUAGGACGGUGCAUCCACA
ensembl:snRNA U2 U2 spliceosomal RNA